UGACAGGUGAUCAGAGGAGUCUGAGGAAGGAUCACAUUGGAAGCAAAGGUGUCACUUCCAGACCGGCUUUUCUCUCUUCCAGGAGGGUGUGGCACCUGGCUGUGCUAACAAAUAAAAUGAACAGAAAUAGUCUCCCUGGUCUCCCAGCAGGACAGAGUGCAGUUCCAGGGACAGGUCUCCCUUUGACUUCCACUCAGAACAGACUUCAGGUUUUCUCCCAGAGUUCCAGAGUAACACAGCAGCUUCACUCUGUUCCCUGCAGACACAGACAGGUUGUUGUUGGUGACAGUGUACACCUCCAGCUGGAUCACAGAAACAACAUCCCCGCCGCAGGAGAACUCGUACAGUCCCUUAUCGUUGUAGUUCAGAUCCUUUAAGAAAACGCCAGACGGGGAGUUCUCAACCCGGCUCGUGUAGUCUCCCUCUGGGAUCCAGACUCCUCGGACACGCUUCGCCACAGGUACUGGAGUGUCAUCGUUCAGCCUCUGAGUUAGAGUUAAAAUUGCGCAGUUCACCUGAGUUCUUGGGGAUAACUCUGCUGUCUUUGUUAAAACUCCUUUGACGAGCUCUUCAUUGAGGGAGUCAAAAAAGUAAAUAAAAUAAAAAUGGCGUAAAACACCCAGAGGAUGAUCUCCAUGUUUGCCCGGCAGUCUCUGAGCUGUAUGUGACRGAAUAAAUAUGACAGUCAGACUGAUGACAGAGCUGUUAAACUCUCCCUGCAGGCAGACAGGAGAAGAGAGUGGCAGUGAUCAGAUCACAUCAAACACUCCCCUCUGCUGGAUGAUGUGCAUCAGUCACCUGCAUGCAGCUGUACAGAUAAAACUAAAUUAUUGGGACCGCCGCAUGCGAAGCGUA